CCUUUUGUAACUUCUGUUUAUUGGGUUUUGUCUUUGAUGCCAUCAGGUAAAAAACCUUAAACACAUAUACACAAUAUUAUACAGUGAAGCAUUUCCAGAAUAUAACUGGUUUAAUUUAGCAGUGUACACAAUAUGAAUCCAUUCAUCCAUUCAUUCAACUAAAUCAUUAUCCAAGAUGGAUGUAAAAACUGCCAACGCCAAACCAUUAUUCAUCAAUACAGCUACAUAAUAUUAUAUUAUGAUUACGCUAGUAUUAGUAUACAUUGCAGAUUGCCCAAUAAAUAAUCAGCAGCGCAUACUAGCGCAGCUAUAAAUUACAACAAUAAUUUUGAUUUGGAGUAUUAACACGAUCAGACUACAGCUUUAUGAAUUAAAUGGAUAUUCACACCUACAUCAUGUUCACAAACAGUGCCAUGGCGUCAUAAGCGCAAGAAGUGACUUAGUGGUACUUGCGUAGUUGCGUCCAACAGUGUGAUCUCGAGAUGUUAAUGAUCAUUAUCUUACCGGCUGCCUUUCCACAGAUUGUUUGCGGGUGACUAAGCAUUUGUUUUAAGUCAAUCAAGACGAUCGUUGCAUAAAACUCACCAGACAACAACUACUUGUUUUUGUAGUAACCUCCUCGGAGUGUGCAGUCCGUUCUAUAAAGGGUCCGGGUAUCCGCGCGUCAGAUGGUGCAAAAGACGAGCACAAAGAAUCCUCCAACCGCUUGCUUUAAACGAACAAGAGUUUUCAACCAAUCACAAUGACGCUCAGGAAAUGUAAACACUCCCCCGGAAGUUACGUUUGCCGACUGCGGCAAUAACGAAGCGUUAAAGUAUUUAGAUCUCAAAAGUCGUGCAGUCAUGUGGCCUGUACUUUGGACAGCCAUGCGAACCUACUCUGUGUACUUCACCUUCCCCGUGGCCUUUGUGGUGGGAGCGGUGGGCUACCACCUGGAGUGGUUCAUCAGGGGGACGCCCAAACCUCACGAAGAAGAGAAGAGCAUUCUCGAACUGAGGGAGGAGAGGAAACUGCUGGAACAAGCCGGGAUGGACGGCACACAGGUGCUCAGCCUGAAAGACAAACUGGAGUUCACGCCCAAAGCAGCUCUAAACAGGAACCAGCCAGAAAAGAGCUAACGCCUUCAUCAAAUACAGACAUUACGUCCAACAUCCUGAGCGGACAAUACGUGGUGCCUGCUUACUGGAAUGGCAUCCUCCUCAUAAACACAUAGACUUUCACCUAUCCAGGAAGACAGUGGUUCCUGGGUGGACGUGAUGUAUGCAUAGCCUCCAUGCAGUUGGUAUAGCUCGGGAGGACGUCGUGUCCCGCAUUGGCCGGUCCGCAGUCCACCGAAAUGGCCGUAGCCUCGUUUGGCAGCGGUAGGCCCCCGUCGUACAAUUCCGCCGUCUCCUCUCGGGGCGCCGGAACGUCCGGCGAGGCCUCCGCCGUCCGCUCAGGCUGCAGUCGGUACACUCGCGCCUGAGAGCGGUAACGCUUCUUCAGCCGAUGUGAAAUUGCAAGGUGAAGCAGGUGAUGGAGCUCGAUGAGGUUGAGCAGUAGGGAGACGGCGGCGAUGGCCUGAGUGUAGAUGGUGAAGAUGGUCUUCUCCGUGGGGCGGGAGACGAAGCAGUCCACCGUGUGAGGGCAGGGGAAACCGACGCACUCGAACUUGGAUUCGAUUUGGAAGCCGUUGUAAAGGAACCACAGUCCCAAGAUGAAGCCCACCUCGAGAAUAACUUUUAGAAGGAUGCUGAACGCGUACGCACAUAACAGCCUGCCUUUCAGCUUCGGAGUGUUCGGUUGGCUCCUCUUGGCGACGCUCCCCUUGCUGAGCUUUUCUUUAUCCUCCGGCAUAUUUUUGGCAUCCCUUUCCGCCAUGCCCUUUGUCUGACCUUUUUCCACCUGCUUGCCAUCCUCUUUGGCCUCUUCUUCCUUCCGUGAACGUAUGGCCACGUAUCCAAAGUAGAAGAUGGUCGGCGUGGAAACGAAGAUGACUUGGAGGACAAAAUAGCGAAAGUGGGAGAUGGGGAAGGCUCUGUCGUAGCAGACUUCGGUACAGCCCGGCUGUAACGUGUUACAAAUAAAGUCCCUUUGCUCGUCGUCCCAGGCCGACUCCACCGCCGUGCCCAGCACCAGCAUACGAAACAGGAAGAGAACAGUGAGCCAGACGCGGCCGAUGCCCGUUGAAUACUCCUGGCCCUCUUCCAGCAGGUGCUCCAGAAAGGUCCAGUCAGCUCUGGACAUCCUCUGCUCCUCUGAGGACAAGGAAGAGGAAGGCAAAACAUGAGAAAUUGCUUUUGCACUAACAAAGAAUGCCGUUUUGAAGUGUUCAUAAUGUUCCAUUUAAGAGAGCUCAAAUAAAAUGAACCAGGUCAACUCGAAACAAAAGGCCCUUUCAAAGCAGCCAGUUUUUCUUCCAGUCAUUAGAAGAGUCGAUAACUACCACUUUUACAUCUGCGCUUGACAAAACAACAACACUUAACACCUAACUGCUAUUUGAUUUCCACGCCAGGCGUUUUAACGAGCACACGGCUAAUGCAUAAGUGCAAUUAUGUCGGUUUAUUAAAGUCUUGCAAAUGGUCGCCCGCCCUGCAUUUUGACUAAGGAGCAAGUCUGGCUCUUGCUUCUUCCAUGAGCUCAGUCUUGUUACAAUGGGCUUUGUUGACAUUUCCCAAUUUAUUUUCUUUGGUAUUGGCUUGUUGCUUUGCUUUGAUUGCUUUUAACUUUCACACUUUUCUUUGUGGCGCCGGCCGGCCUUUUCUAGAAGUCUAUUAAGUUGCGCUAAUGUCAUCAGUAUGUCUUUUAUAUACCCAGCUGCUAGACACCCCAAUUUCCCCCCGGGCUCAAUAAAGUAUCAAUUUAUCUAUCAA